rnacentral:rRNA from 1 species
UACGUAGGGAGCUAGCGUUAUUCGGAAUUACUGGGCGUAAAGCGCACGUAGGCGGCUUUGUAAGUUAGAGGUGAAAGCCUGGAGCUCAACUCCAGAAUUGCCUUUAAGACUGCAUCGCUCGAAUCCAGGAGAGGUGAGUGGAAUUCCGAGUGUAGAGGUGAAAUUCGUAGAUAUGCGGAAGAACACCAGUGGCGAAGGCGGCUCACUGGACCGGCAUUGACGCUGAGGUGCGAAAGCGUGGGGAGCAAACAGG